UUAAAAAUUUUUUAUAAAAAUAAUUUUACAUGUAAAUAUAAGUAUGAAUAAAAUCUUAUUUAAAUAAGAAGAAAUUUUAAUUAUUCGCAGUAUAAAAUAUUAAAUAUUAAAGAAAUUUAGAUUUAGUGAUUUUUAAUAAGUAUUAACAAAAUUUGUGCCAGCAGUUGCGGUUAUACAGAUAAUGCAUAAAAAAUUUUUUUUAGAUUUAGUUAAAUAAAAAUGAAUAAUAAAUAUAAAAUAUAAGUUUUUAGGUGAAAUUUAAAUUUAUAAAUAUAUUUAUAUAAAAGUUUUUGAAUCUAGUAAAUUUAUUAAUAAACUAGGAUUAGAUACCCUAUUAUAAUAAACGAAAAGGUAUUUUCUAAAUUAGUAUUAGUUAUGUUCUUGAAAAUUAAAAAAUUUGGCGGUAUUUUAGUCUUUUCAGAGGAACCUGUCCUAUAAUUGAUAGUCCACGAUUAAAUUUACUUUUUUUAUAAAUUUAUAUAUCGUCGUAGUUUGAAUAUUUUAGAAGAAUUAUUAAUAUUCAAAAUUUAAUAUAAUAAUAUAAAUCAGAUCAAGGUGUAGUUUAUAAAAAAGAAGAGAUGGGUUACAUUUAAUAUAUUAUUAGAUAUUAUUAUUUAAAUAUAAUUGAAAUUGGAUUUGAAAGUAAUUUUAUAUAUUUAUUUAAAAUGAUUAUUGCUCUAAAAUAUGUACAUAUUGCCCGUCGCUUUUGUUUUUAAAAUGAAAUAAGUCGUAACAAAGUAGAUUUACUGGAAAGUGAAUCUAGAAUCAA
rnacentral:ncRNA from 1 species